rnacentral:rRNA from 1 species
CCUACGGGUGGCAGCAGUGGGGAAUAUUGGGCAAUGGGCGCAAGCCUGACCCAGUAACGCCGCGUGAAGGAAGAAGGCUUUCGGGUUGUAAACUUCUUUUUAUAGGGAAGAGCAUACGGCGGUCCCUCUUGAAUAAGCCACGUCUAACUACGUGCCAGCAGCCGAUGUAAUACGGGGGGGGAAAGCUUUGUCCGGAUUUACUGGGUGUAAAGGGCGUGCAGGGGGGAAAACAAGUCAGAUGUGAAAUCCCGUGGCUCAACCGCGGAACUGCAUUUGAAACUGUUUUUCUUGAGUGACGGAGAGGUAAGCGGAAUUCCUUGUGUAGCGGUGAAAUGCGUAGAUAUAAGGAGGAACACCAGUGGCGAAGGCG